rnacentral:rRNA from 1 species
UGCAGCAACGCCGCGUGAGGGAUGACGGCCUCCGGGUUGUAAACCUCUUUUAGUAGGGAAGAAGCGAAAGUGACGGUACCUGCAGAAAAAGCACCGGCUAACUACGUGCCAGCAGCCGCGGUAAUACGUAGGGUGCAAGCGUUGUCCGGAAUUAUUGGGCGUAAAGAGCUCGUAGGCGGUUUGUCGCGUCUGCUGUGAAAUCCCGAGGCUCAACCUCGGGCUUGCAGUGGGUACGGGCAGACUAGAGUGCGGUAGGGGAGAUUGGAAUUCCUGGUGUAGCGGUGGAAUGCGCAGAUAUCAGGAGGAACACCGAUGGCGAAGGCAGAUCUCUGGGCCGUAACUGACGCUGAGGAGCGAAAGCGUGGGGAGCGAACAGGAUUAGAUACCCUGGUAGUCCACGCCGUAAACGUUGGGCGCUAGAUGUAGGGACCUUUCCACGGUUUCUGUGUCGUAGCUAACGCAUUAAGCGCCCCGCCUGGGGAGUACGGCCGCAAGGCUAAAACUCAAAGGAAUUGACGGGGGCCCGCACAAGCGGCGGAGCAUGCGGAUUAAUUCGAUGCAACGCGAAGAACCUUACCAAGGCUUGACAUACACCGGAAACGGCCAGAGAUGGUCGCCCCCUUGUGGUC